CCUACGGGAGGCAGCAGUGAGGAAUAUUGGUCAAUGGACGAGAGUCUGAACCAGCCAAGUAGCGUGAAGGAUGACUGCCCUAUGGGUUGUAAACUUCUUUUAUAUGGGAAUAAAAUGUUCCACGUGUGGGAUUUUGUAUGUACCAUAUGAAUAAGGAUCGGCUAACUCCGUGCCAGCAGCCGCGGUAAUACGGAGGAUCCGAGCGUUAUCCGGAUUUAUUGGGUUUAAAGGGAGCGUAGGUGGAUUGUUAAGUCAGUUGUGAAAGUUUGCGGCUCAACCGUAAAAUUGCAGUUGAAACUGGCAGUCUUGAGUACAGUAGAGGUGGGCGGAAUUCGUGGUGUAGCGGUGAAAUGCUUAGAUAUCACGAAGAACUCCGAUUGCGAAGGCAGUUCACUGGACUGCAACUGACACUGAGUCUCGAAAGUGUGGGUAUCAAACAGGAUUAGAUACCCGUGUAGUC
rnacentral:rRNA from 1 species